rnacentral:misc_RNA from 1 species
UUUCCGUAGGUGAACCUGCGGAAGGAUCAUUACAGAGUUCAUGCCCGAAAGGGUAGACCUCCCACCCUUGUGUAUUAUUACUUUGUUGCUUUGGCGAGCUGCCUUCGGGCCUUGUAUGCCCGCCAGAGAAUACCAAAACUCUUUUUAUUAAUGUCGUCUGAGUACUAUAUAAUAGUUAAAACUUUCAACAACGGAUCUCUUGGUUCUG